UUUGAUUUGAUUGUUCAUUCUUUCACAAUUUUAAUUUUAUUAUCUAAUUUUUCAAUAUAUUUAAUUCAACUUCAAACAUUAAAUACGUUAUUUAUUCUUGCGAAUUUAAUUAGUAUAAUUAAAGUCAUUUUCAUAACUAUAAAUUUAUCCAACAGUUUAUUUAAAUUUAAAAGUCCAAGUGUUGUCGACCGAUUUAAAUCAAAUAAAUUAUAAGUUUGAAUAGUAAACUUAAAAAUAUGAAAGAUUGGAUACUAAUUCAAAAUAAUCUAUAGUUCAGAUAAAUUUUUUACAUAUUUAUUUUUAUUUAUUCACUUAAAUAGUAUGUAUA
rnacentral:lncRNA from 1 species